AAUGUGUGAUGAGAAAAUGUUUCGGUCCCAGUUGAUGACCACUGAUAAUAACUCACAUUUUUCUGAUGUU
rnacentral:snoRNA from 14 species